rnacentral:antisense_RNA from 1 species
AAUCCUUCCAAGAAACUCACAAAGCAGGGCUUUUUCUUGAACUUCUCUUCCUCACAACAGUUAAAUCAUCCAUUUAAAGAUGUCAGACAAGCUCUGUGUUCUAAGAUGUCUGUGUGUUAGGAAAACUUGGAUAAGCAGGUCCAUAGAAAUUCCUCUGCUAGCCCUGUCUCCUGGCAUUUCUACAUAAUAGCAUAUCCUCAGUUUGAAGCUGAAAAGGUUAAAUUCUACCUGAAGGAUGAAAACAACCAACAUCUGUGCCAAGACAGUCAGGAGGGCAACCAUGUUUCCUGGUGGAGCCUCUGGAACCACUCAAGCCAAGAUGACCCGGGGUUUGGCUGGGAGGAGGUGGGGAAACUACAGACCCUACAAAUGGUUUCCUGUACCAUGAGGCUAAGCCUGGGGGCAGGAGACGCUGUGCCUUAGUUUCUUCAUCUGUAAAAUGAAGUAACACAGUACCUACCUCA